rnacentral:rRNA from 1 species
CCUACGGGUGGCAGCAGUAGGGAAUAUUGCUCAAUGGGGGAAACCCUGAAGCAGCAACGCCGCGUGGAGGAUGAAGGUUUUCGGAUUGUAAACUCCUUUUGUUAGAGAAGAUAAUGACGGUAUCUAACGAAUAAGCACCGGCUAACUCCGUGGCAGCAGCCGCGGUAAUACGGAGGGUGCAAGCGUUACUCGGAAUCACUGGGCGUAAAGAGCGCGUAGGCGGGAUAGCAAGUCAGAUGUGAAAUGCUAUGGCUUAACCAUAGAACUGCAUUUGAAACUGUUAUUCUAGAGUAUGGGAGAGGUAGGUGGAAUUCUUGGUGUAGGGGUAAAAUGCGUAGAGAUCAAGAGGAAUACUCAUUGCGAAGGCGACCUGCUAGAACAUAACUGACGCUGAUGCGCGAAAGCGUGGGGAGCAAACAGGAUUAGAUACCCCAGUAGUC